rnacentral:rRNA from 1 species
AUUGAACGCUGGCGGCAGGCCUAACUCAUGCAAGUCGAACGGUAACAGGAAGAAGCUUGCUUCUUUGCUGACGAGUGGCGGACGGGUGAGUAAUGUCUGGGAAACUGCCUGAUGGAGGGGGAUAACUACUGGAAACGGUAGCUAAUACCGCAUAACGUCACAAGACCAAAGAGGGGGACCUUCGGGCCUCUUGCCAUCGGAUGUGCCCAGAUGGGAUUAGCUAGUAGGUGGGGUAACGGCUCACCUAGGCGACGAUCCCUAGCUGGUCUGAGAGGAUGACCAGCCACACUGGAACUGAGACACGGUCCAGACUCCUACGGGAGGCAGCAGUGGGGAAUAUUGCACAAUGGGCGCAAGCCUGAUGCAGCCAUGUCGCGUGUAUGAAGAAGGCCUUCGGGUUGUAAAGUACUUUCAGCGGGGAAGAAGGGAGUAAAGUUAAUACCUUUGCUCAUUGACGUUACCCGCAGAAGAAGCACCGGCUAACUCCGUGCCAGCAGCCGCGGUAA